rnacentral:lncRNA from 1 species
GUAAACCCAUAGAACUCCAGGGAAUUAUUUGUACAAAAUGCUGCGUUUAUUUAGUAAUGGCGAAAUCGGCCACUGCAUCACAUGGGUGAAGGUGGCGUUGUAUUGCAUCAGUGUCACCCCUCAAGAGUUCGACUGCAGCGCUGCUUGUACGGAUGAAUUAUAUCAUUUCUAGCCCGAGUUUUGUAAGAUUGCGUCUGAUGGAUUACUAGAACUCGUCCAAUUGCAGAAAGGGAGGGUACAUCAGAUUUCAGAAUGUUGGAAGGUGUUUUGCACUUGUUUGCUUUUCUUUUUUAGUUUAAAAUUCUAUGACUCAUUGGUCAAAAGCGUUUAAUUGUAUUUGUAUGCCUGUGACAUAACUCUCAAUAUAGAGCUUCAGUCCAGUCAAUGUUUAAGCAUUAAAACACAGUUCACUAAUCAAUCUAGACUCAUUGGUCAAAAUGUCAUGAUUUCAAGUGCUUAAUUGGAUGCCUAUGACAUACCUCUUGAUAUAGAACUUAUGUAGAGCCUCAAAUCAAGUCAAAGUUUAAGCAUUAAACAACACACAGAUUGUUUUCAUUUUCGGGCUGCAGCCACAGCUAAACAACUUCGAUCUAAGAUGAUGCGAACCAGGGAGCAAAGGUCUCCUAAUAAUCAAUCCCUGUACUCUUGAGUGAAGUCUUGGAGCUUUAUAUCAUUCUACAAGGCCAUCUGAUCUUGUUUUAAUUUUGUAGACCCAUUUACAACAAACAAUAGAUUUCCCAUGUGGGAGUCAACCAAAUCCAAGUGUGAGUCUUACUUAAGUCUUGCAAUUCUUCUGUCAUUGCUUGCUGCCAAAUAGGAUUAGUACUGACUUCACGAUAUGUUUUGAGAUUCAUGAAAGGAUACUGUAGCAGAAAAACAGUGAUAAUCACAAACAUGAGAAGACAGUUGACUUGCUCGAGUAGAUUGACAUGGAAGUUGAAACUCAAUAGAGGAGUUAGAAUCUGCAUCCGAAUGAGAUACUUCUUGGGCAGUCACGGUAUGAUCUUCGGUAGAACAUGUAUCACAGCCGGAGAGAAAGGGGUCUAUAGGAGUAGGAUUUGGCAAUUCUUCACUACAUGAUGGUGGGAGUAAGUCUGUAAAUGGAUCAAGAAAGAAAGUUACAAUUGACAAGACACACAAUCAACUUUAAUGUCUGGGAUGGAUCUUAACAUACCUCUAGAAAUUAAUGGACAAAAUUUAGAUAACGGCACAUGUCCAAAACGAGAAUGUUAAGUUUCAGAUGACACUGAAAUAGCAAAAUGACUCAAUAUCGAUAAGAAAGACGUAAAGAAGCAAGUUUGAACAGAUGACCAACUUUAUAGUCGGUCCCAUGUAUCUGCCCUGUCUGCGAUUCCUGCACAUGACGAGAAAAGUGUAAGCUUGGGAUCCAGAAAUGUCUGAGGUAGAGAUAGGUUAGCGGUCGAGAUCUCUCUUAUAUGACUAACAUGAAUUUUAGAGUUAUUCGUAGUAUGAAUAGUAGGUGUGUGAGAGAUAAGUGUGUGCGGUUGGAACUUAGAAGAAUCAAAUGUGGUUACAACAAGUCAACAACCAUAAUCAAAGAACCAAGAUUUAGAUUUACCUGGAAUGACAGAGAGGGUAGGAUAGGAAGUACCGGACUUAUCUAGGGUUUUCUUGAUAGUGUUAAGGUAAACUUUGUUGAAAAGAGCUUUAAGCAUACGGAGCUCAGUACUAGUUUAUGAUGAAUCCUACUGACAUCAGUAAUGACAACUGCAGUCCUUAAACGAUUGGUUCUUAGGAUUUGAAAUUCUAACUAGCCAUGUGCCUUAACCUCUUUCGACAUUCAUCAAUAUGGUUACGUGGUAUAUAAUAGUGACAAGUGCCCUUGUGCUUUGUAGAUGUAGUAGCAUAACAGUGUUAGUAGAAUCUGAAUUCUGAAUUUCUGAUGAGAUCUCAUUGUGCUAAGGUAAGAGUUUUAAUUCAGCAACCAUGCGUCUCAAGUUUAGGAAAUGGAUCUCAAUGAGCAAAGAGGCUCGAACAGAGCUAGGGUCAUGAGAAAGUGAAUAACUCUCAACUUAUCUUUGUCGGUGGUAAAUUUAGUCGUGUCAGAUGUUUGAUCCCACAUUGGUUCAGAGUAUGCUAGCUGGUUCCAAAUAACAUGCAUCCGAGAGAGGAAAUCAUUUAUAGGUGUCCUGGUUCUUGCUUCAAGCUAUGUAGAUAGCCAUAGAGUUAAUACUGAUGUGAAAUAGAGUAUUGUUGAGCUUGUAAAUCCACACUUCUUUAGCAGUAUCAAAUCGUCCAACUGAAGUUUGAUAAAAGAAAUAUUAGUAUUUCAGAACCAAGUGAGAAUUUGAUGGUUCUUGAUAUCCCAUUCAUCCGGUCGAUCAUAAAACUGGUCCUCCAUUUCAUUCUUACACUUAAGCGGUGAAGUAAUUGUUUCAGUAAUAUAUCACCUUAAUUUGCGCCCUUUAAGAAAGCUAAACAUCUCUUGAGACCAUAUAAUGUAGUUGGUCCCAUCCAAAAAGUGUCAAUGGAGAGAGAGAGAGAGAUCUUAUUUAUCCAUGCAGGUGAAGAAAAUAGACGAUGAAAUGCAAAAACAUGUAAGAUCAGGUGCUACACGUUACAAAACUGUACUAUGCAAUCAGAACUAGGGAAAUCAAGGUUGGAAACAGAUUCAGAACCUUUGAAUACCUUAGGAACCGCUAUGAACUGUCAAAGAAUUGGAUUGUACGAAGUCAAACAGGUCGGUUAGAGUUUGCACACGUGGUGCUAACAUGGCAGACAGAAUAUAAACAGGUGCGUGAGGCAGUGAUAUUAGGUGCAGUUCAGACGAGAGGCGCAUGAGGGCACUUUAAGCUUCGUGUCGGAGGAUUUUGGUGGCAUUAGACUCGUGCUUUGACGUAGAGUUGAUAUAUGGCAGGAACUCAAAAAAUAGACAACAAAAGUAUAGUGGGGGAUUUAUGGUUCAGACAAGUAUUGGUGAUGUAACUAGGAGCCAAUAGUAACCAUAAAAUUUUUCCCUGCAACAACUGUGGCUCUUUUACCAUGUUUUAGGACAAAGAAAAAGAGAUAAAACUAUACCAGUGUUGAGUAUUCACUACAAUGAAAAGUGUCCUAUAUAUAGGAGAAUUACAACUAUGUAUGUGUAAAGUUACAGCUGAGGAACGAUGCUACCAUAUUUACAUAAUUCUUAACAGUUUUAACAAUGGAAGAGUGUAUUUGAUUUAUUUUAACAUGUAUGUGUGAACGCUUACGGUGUUAAUUGUGUGUUUUGAGUUUAUGGUUGUUUUAGGUGGGAGGGGGGUGGGGUGGUUCCUGGGAAGAAGUUUACGUUGUUAAUCACACUCUGAGAAAUGCAGCAAUAAAUUUAAAGUCAAAUAUUAUUUAACUGUGAAGAAAUCUUGUGCUAGAGCCCUUCAACCUCAACUAAUAUUAGAUUCAAAAAGUUAUGCACGCACGCACAACUCAUUAGGUUACAAUGCUCUAAAUGUGGCAGACCCUUCAUUCAUUAUCUCAGUGAUUUUUUCUUCCCUAACCAAAUGAGAGAAUUCAGCUUCUGAAGUUGAAUAUAAACUUUCUUCCUUGAUGUAAAAUAAUAAUUUCCUCUCAGCUCCAGCUGAAGCCAUUUAAAUCGAAUUGCUUGCAACUUGAAGCAGGAUCAUUUUUGUCAUCCAUGUUUAGAUCCAGUUCUGUUGUAAAGUAAGGUAGUUUUGUCUUCUGCUUCUCUGGUCUAUGAGCAUCUCGGCCUAAAUAUUUAGCAUCUGCAUCAGCUUCUCUAUGUCUUUCCCCUGAACAGCUACUACUGCCAUUCCAUAGUCCUCUCUGAGGUCCAAUGGCCAUCGACAAAUUUCUGGAGUUCUCUUCUGUAGCAAAUGCUUUUUCUACAUUGUCAUUUGUUGCACAAAGAAAUCUGCUGCUCACUUUCAGGUCUUCGCACAGUUUGAGUUCAGUCUUCUGCACCCUGAGUUCAUUGUCAAUAAUCCUCGACUCUAUAGGUUCUCGAAAAUUCAAAGUUUUCAAUCCUAUUUGGUUAUUGUACAAUUCUUGGUCCCUGAGAGAACCUUCACAGGAGGUUAAGCAGCUGUCUGUUGAACAAUCCGUUGGCUGAGUUGUUUUUAUUUGCUGUAGGGACAAAUCCGACACUUCUUUCAUCCCUGAAAAUUCAGAAUUCAGGCAUUGGGUAGAUACUUUAGACACCAAAUCUGAUAUCUGAACCUUGGCUGCCUCCAAAUCAAUUGUCCCCAAGUUCUGUGUUCCUAGGGUUUCCUCUGCUUUCUCCAAUACGGACUGUAGAUAUUUACCUUGGGCCUCAAUCCGUAGCUGUAAAUGGCGCUGUACCUACACAUACAGAGUAAACUCUGUUUUCAGUGCAACAUAAAAUUCAACAUUUAAUUGUUUGAAAUAUGAAUUUUGGACUACUAUUGUUUAUUAGGAAAGUUUCACUUCAAUAAGAGAUUAAAAUUGUCAUCGCGAUCCUACAUGUGUGAAAUAUUUGCCUAGAAUUUGGUUAAAUGCAUGUUUUCAUGGUAUAUCUUCCAAAGAUCUGAUGACAACUUUUCUGGUUUCAGAUUUCAGAGGGUUUUGAAGAGGCCACACUUUAUUUUGAUUCAUUAGUAAAAAUAUGUAUUCUCUUAUGUUGGAAUCAAAGAAAUUGCAAUUGCUUUACGAAUGGAACUUUUUUUACCUCAAGCUGCUCAUGUAGCCUUCUUUGCACUUCAAUUUGCAUUUGUAAUGCUUCGCUCAAGGGUAAAUUUCUGAAUUUAAAAUAUUACAGUAUAGCAGUGUUAAUUGAUUAUAUUAUCAAAUCAAUAGCGUGAAUCGACAUAGUAAGAACAUGUAACAUAUUUUUGCAUUCUUACUUAUUUGUCUGGGCUACCAUGCUUGGAUUACUCAUGUGGGUUCUAUAUGUCCCGGACAUUCUUUCUCCCGUGACUGUAACCAUUAUCAAACUUAACAUACUUAUUUACUGAAGAACAGGUGUAGUCUGCAAAACUAUUUUCCUGGAAAUUAUUGGAUUUCUUAC